rnacentral:rRNA from 1 species
UACAGAGGUGGCAAGCGUUGUUCGGAUUUACUGGGCGUAAAGGAUGCGUAGGUGGCGUCGUGUGUCGGAUGUGAAAGCUCAGCGCUCAACGCUGGAAGUGCAUUCGAAACUACGGUGCUUGAGUAUGGGAGAGGAGAGUGGAAUUCUUGGUGUAGCGGUGAAAUGCGUAGAUAUCAAGAAGAACAUCGGUGGCGAAGGCGACUCUCUGGCCCAAUACUGACACUGAGGCAUGAAAGCUGGGGGAGCAAACAGGAUUAGAUACC